AAUGUACAGACUCAGUGACCACAGCCUGGCCGUAGAGACUGGCCGACACAGGCAGACCUGGCUGCCUAGAGAAGAGAGGCUGUGUCAGCUCUGUCCACAGAGACAGGUGGAGACAGAGCAACACUUCCUGCUGCACUGUCAAACAUACCAAGACAUUAGAACAAAGUUCUUUACAAAGAUAACAUGUAAACUCCAAGAUUUUGAAUCACUGUCUGACCAGAAUAAAAUGCAACAUGUACUUGGAGAAAAUAGUGCCAGCAGCAUAGAAGCAGCGAAAUAUGUGAGCGCAUGUCACAGCCUAAGAGACAGCAACAAUACAUAACAGCUGUUCCUCACAGCUCACUCUGAUCACUCCUCUACUUCAUUGGUCUCUUUUCUUUCUUUCUUUUUACAUUUCAUACUUGAGGUUUUGUAAUAACAUAUUGUUGUAAAUUGUUUAAUGAAUGAAUUGUAUUUGUAUUUUUUUUUCUUUUUCUUAUCAUAUCACUAUUGAAUUGUAUUAU